GGUAAGGUAGAGAGGGAGAGUAGGAGGGCCGGUUCUGUGGGCCCAAUGCGAGUGAGAGAAUUUUUGGGCCGGGGGUUUAGGGAUAAAUCUAGGUUUUUCUUUUACUCGAUAAAUAGAUUAAAUUUGGUUCUCACCAUUUAAAUCACAAGAAUUUCUAGGAGUGUCCAAAAUUAGUGAAACCAAUUUUGUUAGGAUUGUUUUAUUUUCCUUUAUGCAUUAAAAUUCUUAUACCUUAGGAAAAAUAAUAAAAUUUAGGUAUUUGUUUAAUGCCUUUUCAUUAAGGUAUUUAAAUAAAUACUUAACCUUUAUUAAAUGCAUAAAAUAGUGAAUAAUGUUUUCAUAUUCACAAAUUAUUAUUAACCCAUAGGAGUUAGAUUUUGAGAUUAGGAAAUAUUUUUAAUGUUUUCUAAAAAUAAAAGAAAAGGCCUAAGGUAGGAUUAGUAAAGGAAAUAAAAGUGAUGUGUUAAUCUUUUGGGAUAAUUGUGUGUUGGCUUGCAACUUUAUCAUGAUAAGUUGUGUAGUCACUUGUUGGCUUGCAAAUUUAUCAUGAAGGAAAGUUGUAUAGUCUUGUAUUCAAAAAUUUGCAUUGUUAACCCCUGCAUGUACUAUAUCGUAGACACCGAAGCACCAGAAGGGGAAUUCUUGGAAUUAUCUGAAGGACCUUCGGAGUUUGAGGAGAUCGUUGAAUUGAUC
rnacentral:lncRNA from 1 species